GGAAGACUUAAGAUGGCGGCGUUUGCACGGAGUGCAAUCACUGCGUCCUUACGGGGGUUGCAAGGCGUCCGAAAUGGAGUUCGCUCUUGUUGCCCAGGCUGGAAUGCAAUGGCAUGACCUUGGCUCACUGCAACCUCUGCCUCCCCAGUUCAAGUGGUUCUCCUGCCUCAGCCUCCCGAGUAGCUGAGAUUACAGGUACUGGCUCCUGUAUCACCCAGCUCUGGAGUUGAAAGAGCUCUUCAUUCCUGAGUCUCCUGUACCACUGAGAAUAGAAAUACAAAAAAAAUUCUAAAACUUGUAUGGAACUACAAAAGACAUUAAAUAAUCAAAGUAAUCUUGAGCAACAAGGACACAGCUGGAGGCAUCACUCUACCUGAUUUUGUAAUCCAUUAUCAAAAAACUGUGGUACCAGCAUAAAAACAGAUUCACUGACCAGUGGAACAGGAAAGCCCAGACAUAACUCAUACAUUUCCAUCCAAUUGAUUUUUGACAAAAGUGGCACACAGAAUGGGGAGAGGACAAAUAAAUAAAUAAAUUGUUUUGAGAUAUCUGUA
ensembl:lncRNA JPX JPX transcript, XIST activator